AUUUAAUGAUGUAUAUAUUUUCCAUUACGUAUUUACUUAAGUUGCUUGCUUUGAAUCUCGAGUUGGCAUUUCUAAUACAAGUGUAGUUUCUAGCUUGUUUUCCUAAUUGGAAUGAAAUAAAAAUAGAAUGGAAUUUUAGAGUGGGUAUUUUUAUGCUUAUAAAAGGAGUGACAAAAAGCAAACCCCAACAACCAACCACCAAACCCCAACUAAAUACCAACAACCCUCUGACUCCACAGUGUGUCUUGCUGAAGCCCAUUACCUCUCUUGCAAUGAUUUGGCAGCCAGGUGGCCACAGAUUUGACCAUGUCUUGAGGACAGGUUCCUUCUCUCUGUACAGUUGUUUCAUCAUGCACAGGGAAGAUGGGAUAAGAGGAGAUCUGCAGAUUCCUUGAGGUUUUUUUGGCUAUGAUAAUCUCUAGAUUGAGGGUAGGACAUCUCUUCUUGAUGAGCAGACAGAUCUGAAUAUGUGCUGCUGUGUCUGCAUCCAACAGAGGUCUCACACCAUAAGAACAUUACUCCAAGGAAAGCCUGGAGUGAGGAAAGGACUCCUGGAGCCAUUUCUCCUGUCAGUGCCCCAGGUCAGGUUGCCCACCUGGUCAAGGACAGCCCAGCAUCACUCUGCAACAUUGGCCCCCCAGCAUGCCAAGGUGAGAAAGGGCCACAGGUUACCCCCAAGACACUCAGUGACACAGCCAGAUAUUUGCAUGUAGACUUUCCCCAGCUUCUCUUAUCUCUUAAAGCAGAGCCCUUUUGGGGCACGCAGACCUCAGCCCCAUGCAUGCACACCCUGACUGUGAUUCGGAAAACAAGUGGAAGCAGCAGGAGGUGCUGGUCUCUCUGGCCGAGACGCCCGGCAACACGGGGCGGGUGUUCCCCAGACAGCCCCCUGCUAACAAGGGAUCCUGUCUCGGAGGCUGUGAGUCACCGCUGAAA
rnacentral:lncRNA from 1 species